GGGGGAUAUUGCACAAUGGAGGAAACUCUGAUGCAGCAACGCCGCGUGAGGGAAGAAGGUCUUCGGAUUGUAAACCUUUGUCCUUGGUGACGAAACAAAUGACGGUAGCCAAGGAGGAAGCUCCGGCUAACUACGUGCCAGCAGCCGCGGUAAUACGUAGGGAGCAAGCGUUGUCCGGAUUUACUGGGUGUAAAGGGUGCGUAGGCGGCUCUGCAAGUCAGGCGUGAAAACUAUGGGCUUAACCCAUAGACUGCGUUUGAAACUGUGGAGCUUGAGUGAAGUAGAGGCAGACGGAAUUCCCGGUGUAGCGGUGAAAUGCGUAGAGAUCGGGAGGAACACCAGUGGCGAAGGCGGUCUGCUGGGCUUUAACUGACGCUGAGGCACGAAAGCAUGGGUAGCAAAC
rnacentral:rRNA from 1 species